rnacentral:rRNA from 1 species
UUCGCUGACGAGUGGCGGACGGGUGAGUAAUGCUUGGGAACUUGCCUUUAGGUGGGGGAUAACAGUUGGAAACGACUGCUAAUACCGCAUAAUGUCUACGGACCAAAGGGGGCUUCGGCUCCCGCCUUGAGAGAGGCCCAAGUGAGAUUAGCUAGUUGGUGGGGUAAAGGCCUACCAAGGCAACGAUCUCUAGCUGUUCUGAGAGGAAGAUCAGCCACACUGGGACUGAGACACGGCCCAGACUCCUACGGGAGGCAGCAGUGGGGAAUAUUGCACAAUGGGGGAAACCCUGAUGCAGCCAUGCCGCGUGUGUGAAGAAGGCCUUCGGGUUGUAAAGCACUUUCAGUUGUGAGGAAAGGUUGGUAGUUAAUACCUGCCAGCUGUGACGUUAACAACAGAAGAAGCACCGGCUAACUCCGUGCCAGCAGCCGCGGUAAUACGGAGGGUGCGAGCGUUAAUCGGAAUUACUGGGCGUAAAGCGCACGCAGGCGGCUUGUUAAGCUAGAGGUGAAAGCCCCGCGCUCAACGUGGGAACUGCCUUUAGAACUGGCAGGCUAGAGUCUUGGAGAGGGGAGUGGAAUUCCAGGUGUAGCGGUGAAAUGCGUAGAUAUCUGGAGGAACAUCAGUGGCGAAGGCGGCUCCCUGGCCAAAGACUGACGCUCAUGUGCGAAAGUGUGGGUAGCGAACAGGAUUAGAUACCCUGGUAGUCCACACCGUAAACGCUGUCUACUAGCUGUUUGUGUAUUUAAUACGUGAGUAGCGAAGCUAACGCGCUAAGUAGACCGCCUGGGGAGUACGGCCGCAAGGUUAAAACUCAAAUGAAUUGACGGGGGCCCGCACAAGCGGUGGAGCAUGUGGUUUAAUUCGAUGCAACGCGAAGAACCUUACCUACUCUUGACAUCCAG